rnacentral:snoRNA from 1 species
ACAGCAGGCUGCAAUUACAGUGCUUCAUCCUGUGGGAGUACUGCCAUUUUCCUGCUAAGAGUAACUCUGUUAACACUGUCUUCUGUUUCACCUACAUGGUGGUGAAACCCUUUAUUCUUAACAGGUACAGGU